rfam:Corchorus capsularis cultivar CVL-1 contig06235, whole genome shotgun sequence.
GAGUGCGAUCAUACCAGCACUAAUGCACCGGAUCCCAUCAGAACUCUGCAGUUUAGCGUGCUUGGGCGAGAGUAGUACUAAGAUGGGUGUACCUCCUGGGAAGUCCUCAUGUUGGACCCU